AGCGAACGCUGGCGGCAGGCUUAACACAUGCAAGUCGAGCGCCUGUAGCAAUACAGGAGCGGCAGACGGGUGAGUAACACGUGGGAACGUACCCUUUAGUUCGGAACAACACAGGGAAACUUGUGCUAAUACCGGAUAAGCCCUUACGGGGCAAGAUUUAUCGUCGAAGGAUCGGCCCGCAUCUGAUUAGCUUGUUGGUGAGGUAACGGCUCACCAAGGCUACGAUCAGUAGCUGGUCUGAGAGGAUGAUCAGCCACACUGGGACUGAGACACGGGCCAGACUCCUACGGGAGUCAGCAGUGGGGAAUAUUGGACAAUGGGCGCAAGCCUGAUCCAGCCAUGCCGCGUGAGUGAUGAAGGCCCUAGGGUUGUAAAGCUCUCUCGGCGGGGAAGAUAAUGACGGUACCCGCAUAAGAAGCCCCGGCUAACUUCGUGCCAGCCGCCGCCGUAACAC
rnacentral:rRNA from 1 species